rnacentral:rRNA from 1 species
AACGAACGCUGGCGGCAUGCCUAACACAUGCAAGUCGAACGAGACAUUCGGGUCUAGUGGCGCACGGGUGCGUAACGCGUGGGAACAUGCCCUUAGGUUCGGAAUAACUCCCCGAAAGGGGUGCUAAUACCGGAUAAUGUCCUCGGACCAAAGAUUUAUCGCCUUUGGAUGGGCCUGCGUCGGAUUAGUUAGUUGGUAGGGUAAAAGCCUACAAAGGCGACGAUCCAUAGCUGGGCUGAGAGGAUGAUCAGCCACACUGGGCCUGAGACACGGCCCAGACUCCUACGGGAGGCAGCAGUGGGGGAUAUUGGACAAUGGGCGAGAGCCUGAUCCAGCAAUGCCGCGUGAGUGAUGAAGGCCUUAGGGUUGUAAAGCUCUUUUACCCGUGAUGAUAAUGACGGUACCGGGAGAAUAAGCUCCGGCUAACUCCGUG